ACAGUAUUUUCACACUUUAUAUACCGGGUUCAAUCGCACGAAUAGCAUCUACUUGUUCAUCAACGGGUAUCAAGUUUGCGUUGUAUUCUUCAGCAUGUUUUACGCUCGUCUGAUCUGCAAUACAUUAUGCAAGAAGCGCAAUAUUAGCAGAAAAGCUAGUAUUCAUAGUACAGUGAACACUACCUGUAGCUAUGCCGUCUUCUUGUUCAUGUUCACCGGCUUUGCUUCUUGCAUUACCCAUUCGCAAAUGAAAUGACCGCUAGCUCUGGUGUUUUUGAGGCCUGGGAGAUGAUCAGAUGGAUAUAAUAGAUGCAACAUGAACGCAAGAGAGAUGGCGAACUUGAAGGCAUGAAUACAUUAUGAACUUGAAGAUUUUGAGUGCAACAGUUCGCAGAUUCACUCAUGCUUGUGCCUCCCGCCCGACUUGUUCUACUUACCGGACUUCUUCAGUGUUCAAAUAUAUUCCUUACUCCACCUUUCGUCUAAGCAUCAUGGUGCUCCAACUGGACCCAGGCUACGACAAAGUAUCCAAAGUGUGUAUGUGAUGGCUUUGUGUAUGUGCUGGCAGUGUGUAUGCGACGGCAGGCUACGACAAAGUAUCCAAAGUGUGUAUGCGAUGGCUGUGUGUAUGUGCUGGCAGUGUGUAUGCGAUGGCAGGCUACGACAAAGUAUCCAAUGUGUGUAUGCGAUGGUUGUGUGUAUGUGCUGGCAGUGUGUAUGUGAUGGCUGUGUAUAUGAAAUCAUGUAAAUUUCAGA